rnacentral:rRNA from 1 species
GACAGAGGGGGCAAGCGUUGCUCGGAAUCACUGGGCGUAAAGGGCGCGUAGGCGGGAUGGCAAGUCAGUCGUGAAAUCUCUCGGCUCAACCUCGAGCUGUCGGUGGAAACCGCGUGGCUAGAGUCCGGAAGAGGGGACUGGAAUUCCCGGUGUAGCGGUGGAAUGCGCAGAUAUCGGGGAGGAACACCCGUGGCGAAGGCGGGUCUCUGGGACAGUUCUGACACUGAGGCGCGACAGCGUGGGGAGCAAACAGGG